rnacentral:rRNA from 1 species
UGGGGAAUAUUGGACAAUGGGCGCAAGCCUGAUCCAGCCAUGCCGCGUGAGUGACGAAGGCCUUAGGGUUGUAAAGCUCUUUUGGCGGGGAAGAUAAUGACGGUACCCGCAGAAUAAGCUCCGGCUAACUUCGUGCCAGCAGCCGCGGUAAUACGAAGGGAGCUAGCGUUGUUCGGAAUCACUGGGCGUAAAGCGCACGUAGGCGGACUUUCAAGUCAGUGGUGAAAUCCUGGAGCUCAACUCCAGAACUGCCUUCGAUACUGGGAGUCUUGAGUUCGGGAGAGGUGAGUGGAACUGCGAGUGUAGAGGUGAAAUUCGUAGAUAUUGGGAAGAACACCAGAGGCGAAGGCGGCUCACUGGCCCGUUACUGACGCUCAGGCGCGAUAGCGUGGGGAUCAAACA